AGGCAAGAAAGCUGGAGUGGGUUGCCAUUUUCUCCUCCAGGGGAUCUGCCCGACGCAGGGAUGGAACCCGUUUCUCUUGUGUCCCCUGCAUUGCAAGUGGAUUCGUUCCUGCUGAACCCCCAGCAAAGAUUUGAGGAAGCUGAAUUGUACUAAAUGAACUUGAAGUUUUCUUUCUCAACUAAUUCUGAGUGAGUAUCAGUCCACUGGCCCAAUCUGAAGCGCAGCCUUCACAGCCUUUCCUGUAAGCUAAUUGAGAAAAACGCCAGACUCCCCUCAAAGAAGAUUCAUUACUUGAGUUCAUCCUGAACGUCCUUCUUUCAGGCGUUCAUCUACUUAUUCACCGAAUUAUAUUGAACCCUUGACUCUACUAGCCACCGCAGAGGACUCAAAAAUGCUGAAAAUGUAGCAUCAGAUUCAAAAACUUUUAGUGUUCCAGGAUAUUAUCAUGUGCACUGAUAUUCAUAACAUAAGUCAGAAGAAAAAAAAAAAACAGAGCUGCAUGGUAGAAAUAAAAUGAAGUAUAAGAGUGAAGGGGAGUAAAAAAACCUUUUAAGCUGAGGUAUUUGGGGAAGAAAAUGGUAGAAAAAUUAUGCCUUGAAUGAAGGAUGUUGAAGAAUUUUGACAAGUAAAUAUGGAGAGGGGGAAGAAAAAGUCAUUUCAGGUUUUAGAGUAAAAUGCAAACCAAGAUAAAGAAAAAGGGCAAAGUCUGUGCAAAAGGAAGCAAACCAAGAAAUCUAGUUUUUGUUUUUAACGUAAUUCUGCACAACACUAGUCACAGGGCAAGAUGAGUCAUUUCAAACGUCAAACUGGAAAAUUGAAGCUCUGGAGUAGCCAGGCUAAUUGUACCAGGUGCAUCUAUUUUUAUGUGCUAAUUCUUGACAUUAAACCUUGAUGGAGGGCUUCCCUGAUGGUCCAGUGGUUAAGGAUCUCCCUGCAAAUACAGGGGACACAGGUUCAAUACUUGGUCCAGGAAGACUCCACAAUCCAAGGAGCAACUAAGCCCACGCACCACACUCCUGAGCCCACCAUCUAGAGUCCAUGCUAUGCAACCAGAGGAGCUACUGCUACCACAGUGAGAACCCCACACACUGCAACGAAGAGUCACCCCUGCUUGCUGCAACUAAAGAAAGCCAGUGCACAUCAGUGAAGACCCAGUGCAGCCAAAAAUAGAUAAAUAAAUAAUUUUUAAACAUUGGGCAGA
ensembl:lncRNA